GUGGAGAAUACGUGAAGAACACGUGAGACUGCACUAUGCACGGAGCGGCUACAUUAUUUGCGGAUUUAAAAGUUUGACCAUGACAAGGAUGGCCACAGGUGAAAGACGUCUUGUCUCUGUAUCUGCGUCUAGACUUUCAAUGACCAGCAUCUGAUAAUUCAGUCCAAAGCACUUGUAGCUCUGCCAGGUGCUCAUGUAUGCGGCUGCCGUUGAGAGCAGUGAGCAUGACUUUAGGGAUGCGGUAAUCGCCCAGUCCAUGUCGCGCAUCCCCGUUCCACUCGUACUCUGAAUAGGGCACCACUGCUCCGAC